ensembl:lncRNA
GGCAGCUUGAAGGGGGUUAUAAAAGGUCCCUGGGCUGCCCCAGUGUGAUCCUGACCGCCCCAGCGUGGAGUCUGUCAGAGCUGAGCACCCACACCCAGCAUCAGGGUCCUCCAGCAGGGCUCCAGCUGCAGGUGGCCGGCAGUCCAAGUUCACCGGCAUGGCUUCUUACAGGCCGUCAGGGCUGCUGUCCUGGGAACAAGGGCCUCACCGGAGGGGCAGGCGCUACUCUCGCUCUCCGGGGCUGCUGUGCCUGGUGGAGUGCUCACACACACGCAUCACAGGAGCAAGGGCAAAUCCACCAAGGACUGCAGGGUCACACAGCGAGGGCAGUGCUACUGCCAAAGACAGGAGGGGACAGGAAACCACAUGGGGUCCACAAGUCCCUCCGGUUAAAAAAAUAAUAAUCAUGAGUUAGAAGCAAAACCUCCAGACACUGAGGUCUCCAUCAAUACCAUAAGGCCAGGUGAAGAGCACCCCCAAGAGUCCUUCUCCCCAGAUCCCAGUGGGCCUGCCUCCAGGCCCUGGGGGCUUCUCUGCCCAGCGUCAGAUCACCCAGCCAUGCUGAAUGGUGAAGAUUUAGUCCAGAGAGGCAGCAUCAGUGGGCAACUUCAAUAAGCCUGGCCCCUUCCUCCCGCUCAGGCCUGGAACUGAGGGAACAGGCGAAGGUGGCAAUUAACAGUGCCGAUGAUAAAACAGAAGGAUGGUCGCUAAGUUUCCCAAAACACGUCUUUCAUCAACAGGAAUGCUCCUCUUUGCCCCUGGAAAAAGUCGAUGAUGAAAAGGGUGGAAAAGUGAGUGAGCCAAGCACAGGUGGACCUUUCUCCCCACUAAUCGAAUCAAUGAGGUCGAUCAGGCAAGCUCCGGGAGCGGAUUGUUGAUGCCUGAGGAAGUCUGAUCGUCAACAAGACGGGCUUCUUCUGGGCUAUCGGAGUGUGGGCUGUGCCAGUGUGCGGGAGCAACAAGCCAAAAUGAGAGAGACAUGUCGUCCCGCCCAAACACACACUUGCACAUGGACUGUUCCUGAGUCUACAGAACAAUCCCCAAAUACUCCAGCUUUCCCAGGGUGGGAAAGAAGCCGGAGGAGACAGCAGCCGCCCUACCUCUGCAGCCAUCUGCUCCGAGCCCUGCCUGUUCACUGACCACACAUGGAGGCUGAUAAUGGAGAAGCCAACCACCCAGGAGAUGAACAUCUUGACUUCCAGUUCCAACCCGACUCUGCCUGCCCCUCCCUGCCCUCAGCAAGGCUGUAUGGGCCAAUGGGCUCUCACGUCCUCAUUGCCGCCACUGCAAGAGUCCCAUCCUCCUCCUGGCCAGGGUGGAGAGGUAGGAUGACAUACUAACCAGGGCAGGAGCGACUUGAGCCAUGGGGAGAUGCAAGCAAAGAACCAGAGACAAAUGGGUCCAUGCACACAGGCAGACACACUGAUAAAUCUACAUGGAGGCGCAUCCUAAAGCAUGUGAUUGUUUUAUUGUUGGAGCUGGACAGAACUUAGGAACUCAUCUCUGGUACGAUGCCUAUGAAAUAAACGAGGCACAGAAAGAGAGAAACUUGCCCAAGAUCACUCAGCUGGGAGGUCACAAACAAAGAUGGGGACCCAGAUCCAUUGACCCUGGGUGCAAUGCAACUCUCAGCCUCCUUCCUGAUAUCACCAAUCUACGGAUCAGCAAGACGGAAACCUCUACAUCAUGAGAUAAGCGAG